UUCCGGUUGAUCCUGCCGGAGGCGACCGCUUUUGGAGUUCGAUUAAGCCAUGCGAGUCGAGAGCCUUAGGGGCUCGGCAUACUGCUCAGUAACACGUGGAUAACCUGCCCUAUUGUCUGGAAUAACCUCGGGAAACUGAGAACAAGGCCGGAUAACCCACAAUGCCUGGAACGGUUUGUGGGUGAAGAUAGGAUGGGUCUGCGGCGUAUCAGGUCGUAGGGGGCGUAAUGGACCUCCUAGCCAUCGACGCGUACGGGUGUUGGGAGACAUAGCCCGGAGAUGGAUUCUGAGACACGAAUCCAGACCCUACGGGGUGCAGCAGGCGCGAAAACUUCACACUGCAGGAAACUGUGAUGAGGGAACUCCAAGUGCAUGCACUAUGUGUAUGCUUUUCUUAACUAUUAAUCGGUUUUGGAAUAAGGGCUGGGAAAGACCGGUGCCAGCCGCCGCGGUAAUACCGGCAGCUCAAGUGGUCGUCGCUUUUAUUGGGCCUAAAACGUCCGUAGCCUGUUUGGUAAAUCUGUGGGUAAAUCAACCAGCUUAACUGGUUGAAUUCUGCAGAGACUGCCAGACUAGGGACCGGGAGAGGUGUGGGGUACUCUAGGGGUAGGGGUAAAAUCCUGUCAUCCUUAGAGGACCACCAGUUGCGAAGGCGCCACACUGGAACGGAUCCGACGGUCAGGGACGAAGCCUAGGGGCACGAACCGGAUUAGAUACCCGGGUAGUCCUAGGUGUAAACGCUGUGAACUUGGUGUCAGGGAUCCGUAAUGGGUUCUCGGUGCCGGAGUGAAGAUGUUAAGUUCACUGCCUGGGGAGUACGGUCGCAAGGCUGAAACUUAAAGGAAUUGGCGGGGGAGCACUGCAACGGGAGGAGCGUGCGGUUUAAUUGGAUCAACGCCGAA
rnacentral:rRNA from 1 species